UACGAAGGGGCUAGCGUUGUUCGGAAUUACUGGGCGUAAAGCGCACGUAGGCGGAUACUUAAGUCAGGGGUGAAAUCCCGGGGCUCAACCCCGGAACUGCCUUUGAUACUGGUAUCUCGAGUCCGGAAGAGGUGAGUGGAAUUCCGAGUGUAGAGGUGAAAUUCGUAGAUAUUCGGAGGAACACCAGUGGCGAAGGCGGCUCACUGGUCCGGUACUGACGCUGAGGUGCGAAAGCGUGGGAGCAACAGG
rnacentral:rRNA from 1 species